AGAGUUUGAUCCUGGCUCAGGAUUAACGCUGGCGGCGUGCAUGAGACAUGCAAGUCGAACGGACGAGCGGGGCUUGCUCUGCUCGUUAGUGGCGGACGGCUGAGUAACGCGUGGGUGACCUGCCCCGAAGUGGGGAAUAACUGCCCGAAAGGGUGGCUAAUACCGCAUGUGGAGCCUGGUUCGUUCCAGUCUCCAAAGCCGCAAGGCGCUUCGGGAAGGGCCUGCGUCCGAUUAGCUCGUUGGUGGGGUAACGGCUCACCAAGGCGACGAUCGGUAGGUGGUCUGAGAGGACGAUCACCCAGACUGGGACUGAGACACGGCCCAGACUCCUACGGGAGGCAGCAGUCGGGAAUUUUGCUCAAUGGGCGAAAGCCUGAAGCAGCAACGCCGCGUGAGGGAUGAAGGCCUUCGGGUUGUAAACCUCUUUUCUCAGGGACGAUGAUGACGGUACCUGAGGAAUAAGCCACGGCUAACUACGUGCCAGCAGCCGCGGUAAUACGUAGGUGGCGAGCGUUGUCCGGAUUUACUGGGCGUAAAGAGCGCGCAGGCGGUCGUGCAAGUCGGAUGUGAAAGCCCCCGGCUCAACUGGGGAGGGUCAUUCGAUACUGCUCGACUUGAAGGCGGGAGAGGGAAGCGGAAUUCCCGGUGUAGUGGUGAAAUGCGUAGAUAUCGGGAGGAACACCAGUGGCGAAGGCGGCUUCCUGGCCCGUUCUUGACGCUGAGGCGCGAAAGCUAGGGGAGCAAACGGGAUUAGAUACCCCGGUAGUCCUAG
rnacentral:rRNA from 1 species